GCAAGUCGAACGGUAACAGAGAGCAGCUUGCUGCUCUGCUGACGAGUGGCGGACGGGUGAGUAAUGUCUGGGAAACUGCCUGAUGGAGGGGGAUAACUACUGGAAACGGUAGCUAAUACCGCAUAACGUCUUCGGACCAAAGUGGGGGACCUUCGGGCCUCAUGCCAUCAGAUGUGCCCAGAUGGGAUUAGCUAGUAGGUGGGGUAAAGGCUCACCUAGGCGACGAUCCCUAGCUGGUCUGAGAGGAUGACCAGCCACACUGGAACUGAGACACGGUCCAGACUCCUACGGGAGGCAGCAGUGGGGAAUAUUGCACAAUGGGCGCAAGCCUGAUGCAGCCAUGCCGCGUGUAUGAAGAAGGCCUUCGGGUUGUAAAGUACUUUCAGCGAGGAGGAAGGGAUUGUGGUUAAUAACCGCAGUCAUUGACGUUACUCGCAGAAGAAGCACCGGCUAACUCCGUGCCAGCAGCCGCGGUAAUACGGAGGGUGCAAGCGUUAAUCGGAAUUACUGGGCGUAAAGCGCACGCAGGCGGUUUGUUAAGUCAGAUGUGAAAUCCCCGGGCUCAACCUGGGAACUGCAUUUGAAACUGGCAAGCUUGAGUCUCGUAGAGGGGGGUAGAAUUCCAGGUGUAGCGGUGAAAUGCGUAGAGAUCUGGA
rnacentral:rRNA from 1 species